rnacentral:rRNA from 1 species
UACGUAGGGGGCAAGCGUUGUCCGGAAUCAUUGGGCGUAAAGAGCGCGUAGGCGGCCCUGUAAGUCCGCUGUGAAAGUCAAGGGCUCAACCCUUGGAUGCCGGUGGAUACUGCAGGGCUAGAGUCCGGAAGAGGCGAGUGGAAUUCCUGGUGUAGCGGUGAAAUGCGCAGAUAUCAGGAGGAACACCGGUGGCGAAGGCGGUUCUCUGGGCAUUACCUGACGCUGAGGAGCGAAAGUGUGGGGAGCGAACAGG